ACUGUGUGUAACCUGAUACACGCUCUAGAACCAGGAGGGGCUGAAAUCCUACACCAGGAUGGAGAGAGGGAGCACAAGACUUACUUUUUUCACGGUUCAGCAGUUUGUUGUAAGCUGAUGAUGUCAUCCAUGUGGUUUGGCACUCCUGCCCAGAGACUGUUGUCCCGUGGGUAGCCCGGCUCUGGCUGCAUGUUUGUCUGUUCCCCCUUGCGGCUUUCGUCAAACCUCCAAAACUCCCCACCGCUGAAUAGAGAUGGGCCGAGGGUAACCAGCCAUGGCCACUGUGUCCUUGAAGACCCAGUAUUGAGAUCCUGGACAGAUGGAGGAAAGUUUGCGUAUUUUAAAAUGUGUUGUCUGUCAUUGUUCUAGGAGGUCUGUAUUUCAUGUUACAGGAGGCAACAUUUUUUUGCUCAUCAUGAUUUAUUACAAAGCUGUUAGGUAAUCGGAGGUAACCAGCCUUGGCUGAAGUUCUUUGGUCUUUGUGUUAUUCAUGUUUUGCUGAACGACCUAUCCUAAUAAAGUCAAACAUGUUAAACCAGUAUAA